CCUACGGGGGGCUGCAGUGGGGAAUUUUGGACAAUGGGCGAAAGCCUGAUCCAGCCAUGCCGCGUGCAGGAUGAAGGCCUUCGGGUUGUAAACUGCUUUUGGACGGAACGAAAAACCACUUUCUAAUACAAGGUGGUCAUGACGGUACCGUCAGAAUAAGCACCGGCUAACUACGUGCCAGCAGCCGCGGUAAUACGUAGGGUGCAAGCGUUAAUCGGAAUUACUGGGCGUAAAGCGUGCGCAGGCGGUUAUGUAAGACAGAUGUGAAAUCCCCGGGCUCAACCUGGGAACUGCAUUUGUGACUGCAUAGCUAGAGUACGGUAGAGGGGGAUGGAAUUCCGCGUGUAGCAGUGAAAUGCGUAGAUAUGCGGAGGAACACCGAUGGCGAAGGCAAUCCCCUGGACCUGUACUGACGCUCAUGCACGAAAGCGUGGGGAGCAAACAGGAUUAGAUACCCUUGUAGUC
rnacentral:rRNA from 1 species